rnacentral:rRNA from 1 species
AUUGAACGCUGGCGGCAUGCCUAACACAUGCAAGUCGAACGGAGGUAGGGGCAACUCUACUUCAGUGGCGGACGGGUGAGGAAUGCGUCGGAAUCUACCCUAUGGUGGGGGAUAACACAGGGAAACUUGUGCUAAUACCGCAUAAUGUCGAGAGACCAAAGCAGGGGACCGCAAGGCCUUGCGCGAUAGGAUGAGCCGACGCCCGAUUAGCUAGUUGGUAGGGUAAAGGCCUACCAAGGCGACGAUCGGUAGCUGGUCUGAGAGGAUGAUCAGCCACACUGGGACUGAGACACGGCCCAGACUCCUACGGGAGGCAGCAGUGGGGAAUAUUGGACAAUGGGCGCAAGCCUGAUCCAGCAAUGCCGCGUGUGUGAAGAAGGCCUGCGGGUUGUAAAGCACUUUUGUUCGGGAAGAAAUCAUGCUGGUUAAUACCUGGUAUGGAUGACGGUACCCGCAUAAGAAGCACCGGCUAACUACGUGCCAGCAG